rnacentral:rRNA from 1 species
GAGUUUGAUCGUGGCUCAGGAUGAACGCUGGCGGCGUGCCUAAUACAUGCAAGUCGAGCGAACAGGCGAGGAGCUUGCUCCUCUGACGUUAGCGGCGGACGGGUGAGUAACACGUGGAUAACCUACCUAUAAGACUGGGAUAACUUCGGGAAACCGGAGCUAAUACCGAAUAAUAUAUUGAACCGCAUGGUUCAAUAGUGAAAAACGGUUUUGCUGUCACUUAUAGAUGGAUCCGCGCCGCAUUAGCUAGUUGGUAGGGUAACGGCUUACCAAGGCGACGAUGGCGUAGCCGACCUGAGAGGGUGAUCGGCCACACUGGAACUGAGACACGGUCCAGACUCCUACGGGAGGCAGCAGUAGGGAAUCUUCCGCAAUGGGCGAAAGCCUGACGGAGCAACGCCGCGUGAGUGAUGAAGGUCUUCGGAUCGUAAAACUCUGUUAUUAGGGAAGAACAAAUGUGUAAGUAACUAUGCACGUCUUGACGGUACCUAAUCAGAAAGCCACGGCUAACUACGUGCCAGCCG